rnacentral:tRNA from 1 species
GGGGGCGUAGCUCAGUUGGUUAGAGCGCUGGCCUGUCACGCCAGAGGUCGCGGGUUCGAGUCCCGUCGCUCCCGCCA